rnacentral:lncRNA from 1 species
GAACAAACCCUAAACAACACAAAUCAAUCAAAUUGAAAGGGGAUUUGAGGGCUAAAUGAAUGCAUGAACCAAGAAUGUUGAUCCCUUAAGUGUUUCUAACAUCAAAUACCAUAACGUACAAAAAGGAUUGUGAAAGUAAUGUUUAUGAAAGCUAAAGUAUGAAGUUAUGACAUAUUGGCACGAAGAAAGAAGAAGGCGCAAGUCACUCGAAAUCACAAGCAUCUCAAGAUCGCGGUAAAUCCCAUGCUUGAUUGCGGCGCGCUCGGACCGAACACACACAGUGUCGACUUUUAUGCGCUUCCGGUUCAAGUUACUUAUUUUUGAAUGGGUCAAAAUAUCAUUUUUGUGUAGUAAAUGUUAAACUAGUAACUAGGAUGAUUGUAGUAGUUUGAAUUUUAAACUUUAUUUUGAAAAGUUGGAUUUAAUGUU